CAGCCUCCUGCUGCAAGGACACAGAGGCCCAGGACCUCAUCCCAGCACCUGAGCACCCCCCUGCUUUUGCCCAUGGACACAGAAGUCUCCAGCUCCCAGGCCCCCUUUGACAUCGUCAGGUGUGCCAGGCCUUGAUUCAUCUAAGCCUAAAAUACAGCGUUUAGCAACAAUUCACUUGAAAUAUGAACAAAUUCCCAGUUAAAGGAGCUUGUGCCGAUCAGAGGGUCUGAGGGAGCCUGGGUUUCAGGUUGAAAGUUCUGGCUGGGCCUCUGCUCUGCCC
rnacentral:lncRNA from 1 species